UAGAUACCCUAUUAUAAAAAUUUAAAUUGAUUUACUAAAAAAUUAAUAGUUAAGUUCUUUAAAUUUAAAAAAUUUGGCGGUAUUUUAGUCUUAUUAGAGGAACCUGUUUAUUAAUUGAUAAUCCACGAUUAAUUUUACUUAUUUUAAUUAAUUCAUAUAUCGCUGUCAUGAAUAUAUUUAAAAAUUUAUUUUCUUUUUUUAUUUUUAUAAUUUAUGUUAAGUCAAGAUGUGGUUUAUAAAUAAGAAUAUAAUGGGUUACAAUAAAUUUAAUUUUUGGAUUUUAAAUGAAAAUUAAAAUGAAAUUGGAUUUAAUAGUAAAUUUAUUUAUUUA
rnacentral:rRNA from 1 species